UGGGUACCCAUCAAUUUAACCCAUCAACCGGGUUUUUUCAUCACGAAGCGAAAACAGAAGAAAGGAACAGAGAAGUCAUGGAAACUCUGAUUUCUAGUUUGAAAUCUGCGAAGAAGACUGGACUUUUCACCAGUAGAAAAAUAAGAAAGAACGUCAAAAUCAGACCAUAUGCAUGUAAAUCUGAUUCAGAGAAAUUGAAAUCCGACCUAAAAUGGGAGAUUAAACAGGUGGGAUUGUUAGGCAAGAAUUAAGGAGAGAAAAGAACAUGUCAGCGACUGGAAUUUUAGAGCUUGCUUAGAGCCUUGGAAUUCUCGAGACCGUUAUGCGAUUCAGAUUUAGUGAAAAUUUUUCUUCAGUUGAUUUAAG
rnacentral:misc_RNA from 1 species